UUUUCCCUUAUGAUUCAAGUUCAGUUCUAUAUAGGCUAUAAGCUCCUAUCCAUAGCACCACAUCCUUGACUCCAGGCAGUUGUACAGCACCCAGAUACCUUAUAGGCCAAAUCUGUAUUCCCUGGACUGGAUUCUUUCUGGCCCUCAGACUGAGGAAAGGGAACAGGCACCUCAGAUGAAGACAGCAGUUGUAAUGUUAACGGUGAUACUUACCUCUGCUACAAGG
rnacentral:lncRNA from 1 species